GAGCCCCUGCAACAGAGCGGGGAAGAGGAGCUGGGAGCUGGGGGCCUGAAGGAUCCGGAGCCGGCAGCAGCCUGGUGCCAGAGGGGCGAGCGUAGGGAGCGCGGAACAGAGCCCCCGCAGCAGCGCAGGGAUCCCGGCCUCACCAGAGACUCCCCCCGCCGUGUGGAUGGCCACCAUGACGGCCAGGGCACCCGCCAGGGAGACCUCGGGGCUGGGGGGCGCUGGCAGUGUUGGCGGUGCCAACGUUCACCGCUGCUGGAUCCGUCCCAAGUGCCCAGCACAGCUCUGGAGCCCAACCUUUGCCUGCCUCGGGGCAGGAGGCGUCAAGGCACGCGUCGCCCAGCUCUGCGCCCUCAGGCACUCUUGGCAGCGCCCGUUCCCUUAUCAUACCGGAGCGCCCGCAGCAGAGGGUGCAUCGGGCAUCGUGGGACCAGGGUUCAUGCCGGAGUCAGGCGAGUUUGGGGUCACUGUCAGUCACGGCAUGGCCACCCCCCAGGCAGCCCCAUCCCGUCCCCGUCCUGGGGUGCAGCGCAGCCGCGGGGCUGCAGGAUCCAGCAGUGGCCACCCCACGCUCAGCUCCGUCCCCGUCCCACCCGCAGCCCCCGUGCCCCGCUCACGAUGAGCACGAAGACGGCCAGCAGCUCGGCCAGGCACUCCCGCAGGAGCUGGUUCCGGACGCGGAGCAGGGCCUGAGCCCUCUUCGAGAAGGACGCGGAGCCCAUGGGGCCGGCCAGGCAGGGGCAGUGGCAGCAGCAGCGGCUCCCUGGGGCAUUUUAUGAGCCCCGGGCUGGGGUGGAUGAUAACACGCAGACUUUACACCAAUCAGGGCUGCGAGCUGCAGCGGGGAGACGCCUCGCAGGGACCAGAGUCCCGCGUGGGGCCGUGGGCAGCAGCUGCGUCCCUGCUCCCACCCGUCCCUGCCCGUGGUGCCGGAGCCCCCCGAGGACCCCCCGGUGGCUGCGGGGCACCGAGUCCUGGCUCAGGUAAGUCCGCGCUGCCCCGCGUCCCGGUGUGGGAGCCUCCCCGGCUGGAGAGCUGCUGCUUUCCUCCACCGGGUCCCUUCCCAAGCCACAACCGCAGGCAGCGCUAAUGAAAAGGCCUUGGAAGUGCUCCCAAGGCCCUCGAGAAGGGCCCGGGGGAGGCAGGCAGGGAGCAGCGCGGGCACGGGGCCACGGCAGAGGAGCCCUGAGGCUGUCUGCACCCACAGGGCAGCCCCCGGAGCUGCAGUGGGACCCCCAGCUCCAAAUCUGGGGGGGUUGCAGCCCACCCUGUGCCCGAAGGAGCCUCGCACACCACCGUUAGAAUAAAUAGAUUUAUUGCUCUGUA